rnacentral:snRNA from 1 species
GGAUGUGAGGGCGAUCUGGCUGCGACAUCUGUCACCCCAUUGAUCGCCAGGGUUGAUUCGGCUGAUCUGGCUGGCUAGGCGGGAGUCCCCUUCCUCCCUCACCGCUCCAUGUGCGUCCCUCCGGAAGCUGCGCGCUCCGUGAAGAGGACGGCCUUCCCCGAAUAGAGACAGACCGGUCUUCGGUCGAGGGUAUACGAGUAGCUGCGCUCCCCUGCUAGAACCUCCAAACAAGCUCUCAAGUGCAAUAUGACAUAGAGUGGGGGUUUUGUUUUUGGUUUUUGAAAAAUUCCUUAGCAUGUUGACUCUGUAUGCUUAG